GGUCCCCUGCAUUGCGCGUGACGGGUAUAACUUGAUCCUCGUGAAAAAAUUAAAUCGGGAGCUGUCACUAGAAAGGGUGUGCAUGCCCAGGCAAGACUGGGUAGCCUAACUUUCCAUAACGGCGCCCACCUGGUAUAUGCCAGGUUCAAGUUUAUCUGCACGGCAAGGGCGGGGGACUU
rnacentral:other from 1 species